CCGGGGCUGGCAGAGCGGAGCGGCGGCCGUAAAGGAGAGGGAACUCGGACGUCACUAAGGCUCAGGGUCUCCGGAGCAGCUGUGCACAUCCCAGAGGGACCAGGGUCCCGGACGCUCUGCUGAGCUAGCUCGCUUUCCCACCUUCAGGAGGGGCGGGGUCCCACCUGCAGCCUGCGGGCUAGUCAAGCAGCACACGAAGGUGUGAAAAGAAAGGCAAAGUUUGACGCGAUGGAGAAAAACAAGCCACUGUUUUGGGGACCGUGAUGGUGGGGAGGGUUUGUUAUAUCUACUGACUUUUGAAGGUAGAGGGAGACUCAGAGGCCGAUUAGGGGCCAGGGGAACGAAGGUUUGGGACAUAAUGGACAAAAGAAGGAAGACCAGGAGAGCGAGAAAGAAUGAAGGGAGUCACCAGAGAAGAGCGUUAUCAACGCAGCCAAGUGGAUUCCCAACAGUGUUUCCCUCUUCGCCCUCACCCCACACCCGUGCUUCCGUGGUCUAGGAUGAUCUCGGUAGGCCGUGCAGAAGCAGCAAUAGGAGAAAUGAUGAACUGUAGAGCCCUUGCCAGACAGUCCCUUAAACGUCUCCAGUGGAAGCACACACUCAGGAGGAGAGGGGAGCAGCAUCGGCUGGGUUUGACCAACAGGUACACUCCAGGCUGCCUGCAUCAUGCUGGCUACUGGUGCCGCAGAGCUGGGCUGUCCGCUGUUUUCCUGGGGCCAUGGAGGAGGCACUGCGGGUGAGACUAACUAAAGGGUCAAGAACCAGAAAGCUUGGGGUUUUAUCCCAGCGCGUCCAUCCAUUUGCGGUCUAGGCAAACGAUACAGUUUAGUUUUACAAACAGAGGUAGCCUGAGCCGGGCACCGUCCCACCUGUAGGACCGGCUGCUGGAGAGGCAGCAAACCGAAUGAACCUGUGAAUUAGGAUGCAGCCUGAACAACAAAGUCUCUCUCUCUCUCUCUCUCUCUCUCUCUCUCUCUCUCUCUCACACACACACACACACACACACACACACACACACACCACACAGAGAUACAUUCCCCCAGACACCCUACACAGCCCCACAUAUGCUCAGAGACACACCCCACACAUUCCCCACGAGCGUACACACACGCAAACACAUGCACACCCGCUCAUCCUCGAACACACACACAUUCACACAUAUAGGCACACACACAACACAUACUGUUAGUGUACUGUCUAAGCUCCACUCCACAGUUAUCUGGCAACUGCCAGGUAGGCCUGACCCACUAUAAAAGGGGCUGCUUGCCCCCUCCUGCUCUCUUGCUCCUCUCUUGCCCUCUUGCUCCCACUCUCUCCCCAUUCCCUUCCUCCCCUCUCCAUGUGCUCAUAGCCAGCCUCUGCUACACCAUCUCCAGUAGGAUCUGUGUGAUAAGUUCCACACAUUGAGGCGAUUGACCUCAAGAGGGGGAGGGGAGGCCUCCUGGAAUCGGUUGUGG
rnacentral:lncRNA from 1 species